GGAAUCUUGCACAAUGGUCGCAAGGCUGAUGCAGCGACGCCGCAUGGGGGAUGACGGCCCUCGGGUUGUAAACCCCUAUCCAGCGGGAGGAAUAGGGAUGUCAGGUAAUGGGCAUCCUUUGACGUUACCGCUGAGAGUAGCUCCGGCUAACUACGUGCCAGCAGCCGCGGUAAUACGUAGGGAGCAAGCGUUAUCCGGAAUCACUGGGCGUAAAGGGUGUGCAGGCGGGCAUGCAAGUCCGACGUGAAAGCCCCGGGCUUAACUCGGGAAUUGCGUUGGAAACUGCAUGUCUUGAGGACCAGAGAGGCAGGCGGAAUUCGCGGUGUAGCGGUGAAAUGCGUAGAUAUCGCGAGGAACACCAGUGGCGAAAGCGACCUGCUAGAUGGUUCCUGACGCUGAGGCACGAAAGCGUGGGGAGCGAACG
rnacentral:rRNA from 1 species